CAAUAGCGUAUAUUAAAGUUGUUGCGGUUAGAAAGCUCGUAGUUGGAUUUCUGUUGGGAACGACCGGUCCGCCCAUUGGGUGUGUAUCUGGCUUGUUCUCGGCAUCUUCUUGGUGAACGUUGCUGCACUUGACUGUGUGGAGCGCUACCCAGGACUUUUACUUUGAGGAAAUUAGAGUGUUUCAAGCAGGCAUAUGCCUUGAAUACAUUAGCAUGGAAUAAUAAGAUAGGACCUCGGUUCUAUUUUGUUGGUUUCUAGAGCUGAGGUAAUGAUUAAUAGGGAUAGUUGGGGGCAUUCGUAUUUAACUGUCAGAGGUGAAAUUCUUGGAUCUGUUAAAGACGGACUACUGCGAAAGCAUUUGCCAAGGAUGUUUUCAUUGA
rnacentral:rRNA from 1 species